rnacentral:lncRNA from 1 species
GACCAUCGACUAAUAAAAUAUCACUAAUGCAAAAAAUAUCAAGAUAAGCUAGCUUCUCUUUCCCAAUAAUUUUCCUUUAGUAUCAUCACCAAGCAUAACAUAUCUGUUGAAAUAGAGUAUGAUGUGUUUUAGAUAGUUUCUUUCACUCUUCACGUGUUUAGAGAAACCGCUAUUCAAAGAACUAAGAAAGAAAACAAAACAAGUAUAAUAAAAAAGA